rnacentral:rRNA from 1 species
GAUGAACGCUGGCGGCGUGCCUAAUACAUGCAAGUCGAGCGAAGCGGGGACGGUUGAGUAACACGUAGAUAACUUCCUAUAAUACUGGGAUAACUUCGGUAACCCGGAGCUAUACCGGCUACUUCUCGCUGGAUCUGCGUUGCAUUAGCUAGUUGGUAAGGUAACGGCUUACCAAGGCAACGAUGCAUAGCCGACCGGAGAGGGUGAUCGGCCACACUGGAACUGAGACACGGUCCAGACUCCGACGGGAGGCAGCAGUAGGGAAUCUUCCGCAAUGGGCGAAAGCCUGACGGAGCAACGCCGCGUGAGUGAUGAAGGUCUUCGGAUCGUAAAACUCUGUUAUUAGGGAAGCGGUACCUAAUCAGAAAGCCACGGCUAACUACGUGCCAGCAGCCGCGGUAAUAC